rnacentral:rRNA from 1 species
CCUACGGGCGGCUGCAGUAAGGAAUCUUCCGCAAUGGGCGAAAGCCUGACGGAGCGACACCGCGUGGAGGACGACGGCCUUCGGGUUGUAAACUCCUUUUCUGAGGGAAGAAAAUCUGACGGUACCUCAGGAAUAAGCCCCGGCUAAUUACGUGCCAGCAGCCGCGGUAAUACGUAAGGGGCAAGCGUUAUCCGGAAUAAUUGGGCGUAAAGCGUCCGCAGGCGGUUCUAUAAGUCUGUCAUUAAAUACCAGCGCUUAACGUUGGUGCCGUGAUGGAAACUGUAGAACUAGAGGAUGAGAGAGGCAUAUGGAAUUGCACAAGUAGGGGUAAAAUCCGUAGAUAUGUGCAGGAACACCAAAAGCGAAGGCAGUAUGCUGGAUCAUUCCUGACGCUCAGGGACGAAAGCGUGGGUAGCAAAACGGAUUAGAUACCCCGGUAGUC